ACCAUGGCCACAGCCGGAAGUGCCGCGGUACUGCACGCAUGGUACGGCCCUCAGGAGGGGCGGGAUUUCUGGUAGGCUGCCCAAUGGCCGAUUGCUCCUCUGAGAGGCGACCCGGAAGUGGUAACGCGGAAUGGGCGGUGCUCGACCAAUGGUCCCCCCCUGUGUGCGGUCCGGUCGAGCAGCGCCGCUCCCAGCGCAGCGUUCCGCCUCCGGCCCCGCUGGGCUGCUCGCGGGGCUCCGUCCGUUCCGUCCUUGCCCCCGUCACUGGGAUGUGCCGAAACUGCUCGCACGUGGGCCAGGGAAGGCCAGAGAUGGGGAAACGGGUGAAAAUGGGAAGGUGAGCGCUACCUGGCUCCACGAACGGUUCUAUUGAGCCUGUUUGCUCUUGGGUUCAAGGCAGAGAGAUGGGGCUGUUCUGAACGCUGAGCUGGGCGUCAGGGGAAUGUCCUGAACGGGGCAGGUGGUCCCUCGUGAGCUCACACUGCUGCUACGUGCUUGGCUGAUAACACAGAUCUAAAUUCGGUUCUUUAACCCCUCUGUGUGAAGACUGAAAAUGGAGAAAUGAUGCAGUGUGUGAGCGAGGAAUGGUGGGUGCUGAAUUCCUGCAGCAUCCCAUGACAGCAGAGAGAACUGCAGCUCCUGCACGGGCUCUUUGUAGGGAUGCUCACAGGCAGUUUUGGUGACAAAGUGGGGCCUGAAUGACAGCUUCACGCAUCCUCGUUCAGUGAUGGCGCUGUCAGCAGGCCAUGGAGUGCUGCCAGGGGACAGCACAACGCUGCUCGUGCCUUUGGGAUCCAAAGGCCUGAGGGACCGAACACUGUGAGGACCUCCUGCACCACGGGAACGGUGCCUGCAUUCAAACCGGUGCUUUUUUCUGUUCCCUGUGGUGAUGCGUGAGCAGAAGCUACAUUGACAGAGGCAAUCCAGAGACAAAGGCAGGUAAUCCUGGGCGUCUUUCCCUGAGAUAAACAGUAGGGUUUCACGACAGCAAUUUGAAGCAUGGUUUACAUCGGAUAACACUGUUUUGUUCCUCUGCAUUAAGGGAAAUACGCUGGAGCCUGAGUUCACAUCAGUGUGUUUACCAUUAAUAAUGGAUCAAUAGUAGUGGAAAAAGAAGAAUUUGGGAUCUUCCUAAAAAGUCACAUUUCAAGGGGUCUGAUGGUGGUAACAGUUUUCUAUCUCUAGGGCCGCUGUGGAAUGAAAGGAAGGAGUCAAUAAUUUUAUUUAUGUAAAUUAAACUGAAGAACAAAGCCAAGAAGCAGUUGCUUUGUGUCACGGCAGCCUGACUGGAAGCUGUGGUCUGUUCAGUCUCCUGAAAAUCAGAGCUGGAGGAAAAAAAAACAAAACAAAACAAAAAAAUUUCAAACCAUCCUUCUCCCCAAAGUGGAUGAACUGUAGAGUGAUGCACUGUCUUUCUUACAGGACAGCAAUUGCCUGACGUCCAGGCUCCUGGGCUAACUUACCCGGUAUCUGCCAGCUCAUUUCUUUUAGCAGGUAAUAGUCAGUGUCACCAGACUGGCAGGUGCUGGGGAAGUUGAUUGAAAGCAACUGCCCUGCAGUGGUUGCGUGGAGAGUCAUGCAGCAGGGGGUUAGUCAGACUAGAUUUGCAAUUAGAGAAGAAAAUUCAUUAGAAUAAGUCUUGAUUUUGUUGCUUUGAUUGGGAUCUGUUUUAGUAGAUGAACCUGAUCUAUGUAAUUAGCAACGAGCUCACCUUUGAUUUAAACCUGCUGAUUCACAAAUUGCAUAUUGGUGAGAUGAGUAACUCGUGUCAACGUGCCUUUGUUCUCAGGAACAUUAGAGAGGAGUCUGUCCUGAACCUGGGGCUUUUGUUCCGGAGACCGUGCCGCCUGAAUGCUAAAUGUUGGUGUAGUCUUUUAAAACGACGCCUGUUGUUUUUAUUAGCACUCAUUGUCUCCUCUUUUCUUCUCUUUCUCGCUGUGUCAGCCUAGAACUGCAGAGGGCUGGAAUCCUUUUAGCAUUUUAACGCUUCCUUAGCAAACAUCCUGCUGUUCUAUUGUUGCCCUCCUGAAGUGUGGGAGCUCUUUUUUUUUUUUUGAGGGAAAAUAUCUCCAAACUCUAGGAGCUGUUUGCACUUGUUCGGUCACAUCUGCUUUGCUGCAGGCAUCGCUGAGUGCAAAUCUUCAGCCUUUUAACCCCAUUCUCUAGGGCAACAAUUUUGUGCUCUAGUUCUUCCAGGCUCUUAUUUGUCACCUAUUUUUCAAGGGGCACGGGGUGUAGCUUCUCUUUUGAGAAGAGCUCUGGAUGCUUUCCCUAGCAGCAAAGAGCCGUGCAGAAGUCCCCACAGGGGAACAAAACCUCCAGGGGAAAACAUCCAUGAACUAGUUUGAACUGAGAGCUCCCAAUUUCACAGUGCCUUUGGUUGGAAAAUGUAAAUGUUCAAAGAGCUGUGGCAUAAUGAAAGAUUUUCUUGUCACAGCCUCUGAAGCAAGGGAGCAGUCUCCUCUUUCCCUCCCUGUUUGCAUGGAUUGAGUUUUGGUCGCACCUAAAAACCAGCCUAGGAUGUCUGUGUCCCUUCUGGGCAGUGGACCCAAGAAGGUGGUUGUGUUUUUUGCCCCUUUGCUUUUUGCUCAGGUUACAGUUCUGAUUUGGAACCUUUGGGACCUGGGCUCUGGGCUCCUUUCAGAGAGCUCUCGGGGAGGCUUUGGGCUGUAGCCCCUCACUCCUCUCUGGCAGAAUUCUGCUCCAGUUCAGCUCACUGCCCUACAGGUUUUUGCACCACCUGAAUUUUUUUUUUUUUUUUUUUUUUUUAAGUUCAUUUCUGUGUGAUUUGGUUCCAGUUAUUCGUAAUUAUUGCCUUUUCCAGGCACUGCACUGCAGCAUUUCCAAGCUUGCUAUGAAAAAAGUGUACUUACUGAGCCUGCAGAUACAUUAUGUGGUUGUGCUGCAAACUCCUGACUUCUGCGGCCAACCCAAACGCUGGGGAAGAGGGAGCACUGAGAUCUGCCCCUCCUGCACUGACAAUCAUAAAACGUAGCACAACUGUUUGAAAUGAACUGAAUGCCUCUGAGGGAGACCGUGAUGUUUUGUCACGUGCGGAAGUGAAGACAUGGCAAUGCUGAGGUACCGAUCCCGUGAAGAGGUUCUAAUUGUGGUUGCUGUAUAGAAGUAUCAGCCUUGUUGACCUCAGGAUACCCAACCCUGCCAAUCCCUGCCGCCUUCCCUCUUUGUCUUGGUGUGGUGCAAGCAGUGAGGUCUGAGGGCUGGUCCUGCAAGGCAGCAAACACACAUGCAGAGGAGUGCCUGCUCAGCCCUUGCUGUGCUUUUUGGUGAGGUAGGAAAGAGUUAAAGACAGCAGAGGGCGAGUGCUGUGCUAUUGUUCAGGCAUUGCUCUGCAUCCAGGGCUGCUGCUCUCUAUUCCCGGAUCUGCCUCUGGCUUCCUGCACGACCUUGGGCUGCUCACCCACCUUCACUUUGCUUUAGUUCUCGAAUUGCAACAUGGAAAUCUUUCUCUUCCUGUAGUGCCACACGCCUUGCUGGCUUUAGGGAGGCUGAGUUCUCAGGUGGGAGGAGAGGGGAAGAAGAGGACACAUUUCCACUGGAGAAAUAAUUACGCAGAGCACAGUAAUUUCUGAACGCUCUCUUGUUCACUCGGGCACAGCAGAGUGCAUGGUGCUACUUGUGUUCAAGCAGGCCAAAGUCACAUUCCAUUUGUCGUCGAGCAGAGCAGUGUCAGUUGCAGUGUUCCCUUUUCUCACUAGAUGGUGCUUUUGAUCAAAGGUACGAAUAACUGCAGCGCUCCGCACAGAAUUGCUCUAUUUCUGCUCCCUGUCUCCAUUCCUCCCUCUGCUCUUUCUGUGCUGUAACACUACGGAGGACACUUAACGAUGCUGGAUGUUGGGUGAGGCUCAUCUGGCAGUGCUGCUCCCAGCUCCCACCAGCCAGCUGUGGCUGGGCUUGGGCUCUUGACGCACGGAUCGGUGCUGCCGGGCUGUGGCAGAGAAUUGAAUUCUUUCCGUGUUUUCUAUUCCCAUAAGGAAAAGGCUUCAAAGAGCAGGUCCCCUCCCCCUCUCUGCUGGUGAAGGGCAUUUAGGGAAGCUGGGGAGAAAAAAAAAAUCCAGCUCUGACAGAUGCAUUUAUUUAACAAACCACAGCCUUUCCUCACCUUAGCAGCACAUUGGUUGGUCUUGGUUUUUUGUUUGUUUGGUUUUUUUUAAAGAAGGAAUUGCUGUUUUUAUAUCUAUUUUGUAUUCAGUAGAUAGUUACCUAGCCAAGGUCAUUGCUGCUGCAUGCCAGCGCCACGCAGCCAGCCAGCUCCUCUUCCCUGAAUGAGCACCGCGAGGCUUCCGCAGGUAAAGAACAGGAGUGAAUCUGCCCACGCCAGGUCCCACGCUGCUGCAGGGAGCCACACGCGCAGCCCUCCAUGGUCUAAAAGGCAGCGAAGGAGGUGAAUGGAAUUGUAAUCAAACGCUUCCUGCGCAGACAUGCACGGGGCUCUGUUAGGAGCAGCGAGAGGCACAGCGGGGCGCGCGGUGCUGCGUGUCAUCACGCUGUGCUGCUGGAGCUCCCCCCGGCCCGCCCUCCUGCAGCUGCCUUGGGUUGCUGUGCUCAGUGCUCCCUGCAGUGCCGGUGCCCGGCUGAGCCGCACGCUGCAGACCUGCGCCCCGCUCCCAUCAGGUUGCAUCACGGCCGGCUCCCUCCCCGUGGAAUUUUACAACUGUUAAUGAAUGGGGUUGGAGCACCGCUGUGCCGCCAGGCAGCCGUUUGUGGAUUUAUGGUCGGAGAUUGAGCUCCUGCCUCUGGCACUGCACCGGUGACAGCAGUGCUGUGUGUGUGCCAGCAAGCCUGCAAGGCCAGAGCCUGCAGCAGCCCUGUGCUCACGUGCUGCGUGUUGUUCUUAUGGUGGUGACGUCCCUGCAGCAGAGACACAAGCUAUGCGUGAGAGGAGUGUGACACAAAACUGCUCUGGGGACCAGGAGCUGACAGUGAUUUCUCUGUCGUUCCCCUGUUGUCAUCUUCCCCACUGCACGUACAUUUGUUCAUCGUUAGUAAGGUACUGUUGAAGACUAAAGCCUGGGUCUGUAUCGCAGUCUGCUUGAAGGAGCAAUCGAGGACUGCAGGGCUCAGCUCAUGAGGAGUGGGGACAGUGCAUUUCCUCACGUCUAUGGGAUUUGAAGAGUCCCUCCUGACUGACAGCAAAUUGCAUCACUGCUUGUACAGAUAUUUUUCUCUGCAAUGUGCUUGUUGUGUUGUUUUCCUCCAGUGAAAUUUGCCAGCACGUCCCAAAUUGUGUGGUUCUGGAAUGGAGAAGCAACAUACCUGUGCGGGGGAGAGAAUGAGUGCUUUUUGCUUCUUUCAAUCUGGCUCUUCCCUCCCUUCUCCCCACAUCCCCAUGUGUUACAAAGCCAGCUGCUCCCAGAAUAGGUUGGGAAUGAAAUGUCACCGUUUGAAACUGGAGGAUGGCAAAACCCGCUGCAAACUUCAGCUGUCUGCUGGAACAUACCUGCUGCAGCCACAUCCCAGCGCCUUCCCGACAGGACUGGGUCGUAUCUGACAGCGAACCUACAGUGACUCUCUUAAUUAAGUCUCCCUGCACUGCUGUGAGGUAUGUAAUUACAGUGAGACCUGACUUAAGCAACCACACGAGGGACUAACAACAGGAAAAAAAAACCUCUUUACCAGAGCAAGGAGGAGCAGAAUUAUACUGUUGCUUUUUUUAUAAAUAUAUAUAUAUAUUUCAGGGGAAGUUUAUGAAACAAAGUAAGUCAGUUAGUCUGGUUUCUUCUCAGUGUAUCCCAGUAGGGAUGAUACCUAGGAUGAUACCUUUAAUGUACUGUAUGUUAAUAUAAGCAGGCUAUUUCCUUCCAAAAAGAUCCUUGAGAUUGUUUAUUUGUUUUAAUAGAGAUUUCUGUGAAAAGCAUCAAUUAAUACAAAUGGUAACAGUGGUCUUGUGAGAUGAGCUGUUGUUACCAGAAGCUGAGCAGUGGUUCUCACUUCCCAACCCUGUCCAGGGGUAGGAAUGUUUAUUCAAAGGGUGACAUGCAGGAUUCCUGCUGCAGCCCUUGGCAGCCGUGCAUCUCCACACUGUGCAUGGCAGCCCUGCCUUGUAGGUGCUGAGUUGUGCACGUUGAGCCGAGCACCACUGGUCUGUGCCCAGUGCUGGCAGUGGCAGGUUGGGCUUUGUGCUGCCAUUCCCAUCUUGCCUGCCAGCUAGCUGGCUGUUAAUAUCCUGAGCAGCCGACUGCGGUGGCCACAGAGAAGUCGUGCAACUCAUCUUACAGCCUCUGCUUCGGCCUUACUGACCUCCAGCCGAAGGGCAGGUGGAAGCUGGAGACAGCAAUACCACGAAUGGUCGCGUGGUGAGCCAGCUGCAGUCCUCUUGAGUCCCCAUUCAGUGGGGUGCUGAAUACAUGCAGUGAGUAAAGCUCCCCACUUACAGGCUGAGCGACGCAGGCAGCUUGCUGGGGAGUUUGCAGGAGUAAGCCUUAGGGAAUUUGGUGCCAUCUCUGUCUGUUUCACUUUAGAAAACUGAGCUAGUAACAGGAAUUUAUGAAGUGUGCAUUUAUAUCUCAAAUUUUAGGUAGUGUUAACUAGAAGCCCACAUACUGUCGUCACCGGAUUUGGCAAAGAAAAACCCCAACAAACCAACACAACACUGGCUGCAGAAGAUUUGCUGCAGAGCUUAAGAUUUCAUUUAAGACAAAAUAAAGCAAACCCUGUGCAUCAUGGCCUUAGAGACAACCUUGGGAAGUCAGAUCUGGGUGCCGUUCCACAUGCCUAUUUCUCAGCAGCAUAGCCUGUUUAUCUGCCCCACUCUUUAUCUUUGUUGCCCUUUUUUCUCAUCUCGGAGAACUUCAGUGAGUUUCCUUCUGCUGUGGUCGGUGAGUUGAACCAGCAGUGCUGCAGGGUACUUUGCCUCUCCAGAUGCUGAAUGAGGAUUCCUGUUAGCUUACAGGCUCUAGCAGAUAACUACCCAAGAUAAUGUUGGGUGCAAUUGGUUCAAGUACGCCCUAUUGAAAAGCAGCUUAUUUCCAAGAAUGAAGUUAGCAUAAUUUCAAACCGAGCAACGAAAGAUGAAUUGAGCACACAGCUCCAAUGCUGAAUUCAAUAAGCAUUUGAAAUUUCAAAGGUACGUGAUUUUUUUCCUUUAAAACUUCAUGGGUUUUUGCCCAAAUCAAAGGAUUUUGGUGGACUGCUUACUGUGGGAUUUUCCAGGCUGCCUGAGGCCAUGCAUUCUCAGCUCCUGAGCCUCAGCACAACUCACACCUAAGGAUGGAACUCUCCCUAACGUGAACAAGCAUUUCAGCUCAUUGGGACAAGCCAGUAUUACUACUGAGUUGGUUUGGGCAAAAUAAAUAAAUAAGGAGGGGAGGUGGUGACCAAAAUGACGUGGUUGGACACUCAUUAGCAAAGCAUUGUCAGGGAACAAUAGAAGAACAGACAAAAGUCAGCCCAGAUUCUGUGGUAUUUCCUCAAGGGCUCCCUCUGGCACACGGCUGCUCCCUGCCAAUCCUUCCGUAUUGUUUUUGAUAAUGAAUAGAAGCUGAACAGAUGAUUGUUGUAUUGUCCACUAAGUGAUUCAUUUACAUUAAAUACUGCUCAAAAGGAGGCUUUGGGUAGACUUUUUUUAGUCACUCCAGUUAUUUAUUUGUACAAUUUAAUUACCAUCUUUUAAUUCUCCACUGUACAUAAUUAUUUCCUGAUUGCUUUGGCUAAAUUACAGGGGUUGUAACUCCUCAGAAGUCAGUGGUCCAACAAGCCCUGACAUCAGCAGCAGCAUCUCUGCAUUUUCAGAGAGGAUUAAGUUCUCUACAGUCACCUGUAGAGAGCCACUCUUUCUUGGGGAAGGUGCUGAGGUUCUGCAGCAUCUGUCUGCAGGUGCCUUAUGCCCCUGCUGCCUGGCUCUGAACAGCAGUUUGGCGCAAACUUUGCUGCAUAAACCAUCAUGGUUUCAUUGAUUUCCUCACUAAUCUCCCAUCUGUGUGUCUUCACCAGAUUUUCUUCUUUAACCCAGGCUUUCCAUUGCAAUUUCAGGCUUUUCUUAUGGAUGGUCAAAAGCGUUGAGUAGUUUCAUUUUGUUUGGAAAGGUGUGACAGAUGUGAGAAGUUUAAGGCUUAUUGAAGCUACAGUUGGAAGAACUUCGCUGUCAGAAGGUGUUUAGUCCUAAAUCCACAUCCAGAACUACAGGUGAGACGUGGAAAAAGACUGACUCUUUGCAGUCAGUUUCCCAUGAACUCCUAAGUCAAAAGAGCAUGGAGGGCAAGAGUGUGCCAGUAUCCCUGUAGCCUUACAGAUGUGAAAGGCUGCACUGAAGCUCUGCCAUUCUCUGCUGCUGGAGUUGCUGAACCUGAGCAGAAGUUCCAGAUGGCUUCCAAAGGAUUCAGCUUCUGAGCAUGUUCCAUCUCUUUUACCCUGCUUUGGGAAACUGCCUUUAAUGGGUCUGCGUUUAAAGCAAAUAUCAUCUCCUUGUGCUUUGUCUUCUUUUGGGCUCUAUGUAAUCGUUUGAAACCCAGAUAAAACUCGGCAGGCACACAAGCGAAGCCAGCCAUCCUCCUGCCAUAAACCACAACUGCCUCUAUUGCCAGUGCUUCCCCUGCUGCCUUCCACUUUAACCCUGCAGCACUGCUCUCCUUGUGUUCUUGCUCUCCCCGGAGCCACACUGCUCUGUGUUUAGUGGCAGGCGAUGAAACCAUGCAUUAGCAGCUCCAUAAUAGCUUUGCUCAGUGGAACCCAGCUUCCUUCACUAAUCCAGAAAAUGAGAGUUGUUUUUGUACAUCUGAGAAGCUAAUUAUUUAAGUGCUGAGAAUUAAGGCUCAUCAGAUAGUGGAGACUGAUUUUGCUUUUGUUUCCCAGGGGAAGAAGAAGAUGGAAGGAAGCUGCUCUCACACAGGUGUGCAGCAUGGUAGCUCCCCAGUACUUGGGGUGGGGAGCAGCAGUGUACAGGUCCCUUUCUAGAGCCUCUCUUCAUAUGUUUCCUCUCUCUCAGACAUCAUCUGAUGGUUUUCCCCAUUUGAAUAGACUUUGAAAGUAUCUUCUGGUCAAAUAACGUGAUAGCUUUAUUUUUAUGGCCAUGACAAAGAUGGACCCCGUUUGUGGCUGACCCGGCCUGGAUAUUUUGCAAUAAAACCCUUGUCUCAGGGUUUUUAGAGAGGGAAAGUAGCUCACAUCAGUUGUCCUCCUGUGAUCAGUUAUCUUUCAGCCUUACCUUUGAUCACAAAAGCUGAGUGGGAUUUAGAUGCUGCUAUCUAACCUAGAAAUGGACCUUGCAGUGGCUUGGAAAACAGGAGAUGAAUGGGGUGAAAACCCCCCUGUGUCUGUGGGAAACCACAGAUGAGGGCUGAUAUGAUAAACAAAGGUUUUACAGCACAGUGACUUUUACAAGUGAAUGGCCAAUAGCUGUAUGGUACAGAACGGAGAGGUGGUUCUGGUGGUUGCACUGGAUGGACCCCUCCUUGUUAAAAGCAGCUUGCCAGGAAUAAAUGUCUUGUUUUUUAAUGAGAUCGACAAUGCUGUGCUGUCUUCAGAGACUGAGGAAGUGAACUUUUCUGUGUGGUUGAAGUCAGAUGUUACAGGAUUGUCUGGACGUAGCUGACUUGACAAAUAGCAGGGGUGACAUUUUAGCUCCAUGUAAGUCAGUGGCAAAAUUCCUGUUGAACUCAACUGGGGCCAAGAUUUCAUCCCAUGAUGGUGCCAAAGGGAAAUCUAAGAAAUGAUCCUCAGAAAAAUAAGUGCAGGCAUUCUGCUUUUCUAGGACUGUUUUUUUUACCUAAGGGGCACGAAUCCUUGGAAUUCCAUGCACUGCUUUGGAGAGACCUGCAAAAGAUCACGAAGACAAGCAAGUGUAUUGUCAAUAGGUUUAAAUUAGAAAUACAGGGGCCUGUGAUUCCAAGGGAAAACUUUCAGAAGUCGAUUAUGAAACGUUAAGUCAGCUCAGCCCACUGAAAUCCACCUAUCUUUGUGCUCCAUGGACUGACAAGCAUCCUUCUGGCCAGACCUGUGCAGCUGGACUGGUUGCCACUGAGCGUUGUGGAUUGAAGCAGCUGCUCCACCCCCCCUGCUCAGAUGUAGGCAGGGGGAAGCCUCUAAUCUGGCGGAUGCUUUUAGCAAUGGACUGGACUGAAAACAAAAUCUUUGUUUUAGAGAGGGUGGUGGAGCUGGGACCAUAUAAAUCUGUUUUGCUGCGAGGUCAGUGAUUGAUUAAUGCUGGAAGUGCCACCUUGGGAUGGCAAGGAUUGAGGAUACAGCCGCUUUUCUUCCCCAUGUGGAGGCACACUGCAUCUUCCCAGCUGAGCUAUCAUGUAACACAGAUGACUCUCUGGAGGAAGACUUAGCUGCACGUUUGCAGUAUGUUUUAGCUACUAUCAACAUUUAUAUUCCAUUGUCAUUUGGGGGUAAGCACUAGUUAGCAUAAUCAUCAGUGCUUUAAAAUUAAAAAUUCCUCCAAGAGAUGCAGGAGGGAUUGAAAUGGUUUUCUGCCCCCAGAGGCAAAUCCUUUCCCAAGCUAUCUGCUGCACCAAAAGGUUUUAUUCUAGAAACAUUCCCAAGCCGUGCCCAAGAGUAAAUUAAACUACAGCAAACUUAUAAACUCUCGUGUGUGUAUGUAGCAAGCAGGCCCUGAUCUAGCAAAUUACUACAUGACUAAAUGUAACUAUUUUCUGUUCCUAUUUUGGAACUGAUGUGCUUUGCUGCCGUGCCACCUUCACUGUAUGGCAGCCACAAUCAGGAGGUAUUUGUAGAGUAUGAAAUUUUAAUUCUUCACAGGAAAGAUUCUGGUGUCUUCACCAGAUGGAAAGCAAAGGGCUUGAUGACACUGAUACCUUCUGGAGCUUGGUUCAGGCUCCCUGGUAAGGAAUUGGCUUCAGAAAAUAUUAAGAGCCAUUCUUUUUCUGUGUAAUUUUAGAAUGGAUUUCUGCUUUGGUACCAAAGCGAUUCGUUGUCAGAGUGAACCUGAAAUGAGAUUUCUGGCUCAAAAAGCUCCCUCUCUUUCUGGAGAACAAGAUGCCAGAAAAACUAUGGGGGGACCUUUAAGUUUGAAAGGCAUCGUCUGUUAUCUGUGGAAAUGUGCCUAGGAGUCAAUCUUAAAAUUUCAACAUUCAUCCUUUGGGAUGUGAUGGAGAACCUCAGGUGACAGUAUUUGUGGUUAAGGAUGGAUUUUGUGCUUGUGGGUUAUCUUUGAGAAUGCUUCACCAAUCCCAGCAGCUCCUCGGGGUGGGCCAUGGAACUUCAGGAAGCAGGGAUGGUUGACUGUUGUAAUUGUUUCUGAUCUGUCCAGAGAGAAAAAAUGGUAUGUUCCAAAGGAAGUAUUUAUUUGUGAGUAGAACAAAUUGCAGGUGUUCUCCCUUCUUAAAAUGAAAGAAUUAUGAUUUAUAAAGACAUGAUUAUUUUUAUUUCUGAAUAACACAAACGCUGCUGCACCUUACAUAGAGUAAACAUGAUGACUUUGCAAGAAAGAGCUGCAAAGAAAUCUCAGCAAAAACUUCGGUAUCUGCAAAGCUUUGAACACAUCUAUUGUCUUUUUGAUAUCCUGUUUCUUCGGAGAGAUGGACUUAAAUUUCACAGACAGAAUUUCUCUCUUUUAUCUUUAUCUCCUGUUUUGAUAUAGCUAUGGAGAAAAGCCCAAGAUCAGUAAUAGCAAGUUCUUGCAGAAUAAGAAUAACCCUCUACUUGGGUUUAGACUGUAGUAAUAUUGGGGGUUUCGUUUAAUUGGAAGAUACUCAGAUUCAUUAGAAUAAAUACUGUGUGCUGUUAAGACGUUAAUUACCCAU